GACGAACGCUGGCGGCGUGCUUAACACAUGCAAGUCGAACGAUGAAACCUAGCUUGCUAGGUCGAUUAGUGGCGAACGGGUGAGUAACACGUGACUAACCUGCCCCUUUCUCUGGGAUAACGCUCCGAAAGGCGUGCUAAUACCGGAUACUCACACCGAGGCCCAUGCCUUGGUGUGGAAAGUUUUUCGGAAAGGGAUGGAGUCGCGGCCUAUCAGCUUGUUGGUGAGGUAACGGCUCACCAAGGCGACGACGGGUAGCCGGCCUGAGAGGGCGACCGGCCACACUGGGACUGAGACACGGCCCAGACUCCUACGGGAGGCAGCAGUGGGGAAUAUUGCACAAUGGGCGCAAGCCUGAUGCAGCGACGCCGCGUGAGGGAUGAAGGUCUUCGGAUUGUAAACCUCUUUCAGUAGGGACGAAGGGAAAGUGACGGUACCUAAAGAAGAAGCACCGGCUAACUACGCGCCAGCCGCCGCAGUAA
rnacentral:rRNA from 1 species